GGCAUGUAGCUCAGUUGGUAGAGCGCUUGCCCAGCAUGUAAGAAGCCCUGGGUUUGGUUUCCAGCGCUGCCU
rnacentral:tRNA from 1 species